rnacentral:lncRNA from 1 species
GCUCUUCCAUCUCAAUGGGCUUCAGAGGCCACCUCAGCACACCUAAGGGUCAGUUUGGAUCUAGUUUUGACUGGAUCUGUCCUCUGGGGAUAUUGUGUUGGAGGUGCAGCCACACUCAGUGCAGCCACGCUUGGAGGUGGUGCUACGGAAAGGUGGUGGCUAGGUCGACAGGAAGAGUCUUUGUGA